UACGUAGGGUGCAAGCGUUAAUCGGAAUUACUGGGCGUAAAGCGUGCGCAGGCGGUCCGUUAAGACAGAUGUGAAAUCCCCGGGCUUAACCUGGGAACUGCAUUUGUGACUGGCGGGCUAGAGUAUGGCAGAGGGGGGUAGAAUUCCACGUGUAGCAGUGAAAUGCGUAGAGAUGUGGAGGAAUACCGAUGGCGAAGGCAGCCCCCUGGGCCAAUACUGACGCUCAUGCACGAAAGCGUGGGGAGCAAACAGG
rnacentral:rRNA from 1 species